CUUUGUAAGUUAACGCCUCUAUCUUUUUGGGCGUAGUAGAAGUAUAAAAAUGAUGUUUUGAAUGUUGAUCCUUAGACAUUGUGCGGCGACACGUGUCUCCAGAAGCUUCUGUAAUAAAUGGACGUAUAACUACGGUAAUUGCCCUGACUCCCUGUGUUUUAUUCUCCUUUCCAACAAACCAACUCGGGGAAGUGUUAUACUUCAACAAUUUGGGGGCUCGUUCCGGGAUUGGAAAGAGGAGAAGGAAUUCGAUCUUGUCCAGACAACCUACGCGAGAUUCACAGGUUCCGAGCCGGCUCAUGAUAAAGGUAAGCAGAGCCUGUUAUAUCUAAAUCUGCAUAUUGGCUAUGAACUAAAUUUUGAACCUGUGGAAAACGUAUUGGGAGGCUGGUUUAAAUUCAGGGGGUCAGGGGAACGGUCUGUGAGUUAGAGUCUCACUAUAAGUCGGGUUAGAGGCCCGUUACCGGUGUGUGAGUUAGAGUCUCACUGUAAGUCGGGUUAGAGGCCCGUUAAUCGUUCUAGGGUUGACUACCCUACGCCACUUCCCGACGGGGACGGUGGAGAGUUGCGAGUUAGAGUCUCGGCAACCAGUUGGGUUAGAGUCCCGGGGAGUUUUGGAACUCCCCAAAUUCUGUAUCUGGGUUAGAGUCCCGGGGAGUUUUAGAACUCCCCAAAUUCUGUAUCUGGGUUAGAGUCCCGGGGAGUUUUAGAACUCCCCAAAUUCUGUAUCUGGGUUAGAGGCCCGGGGAGUUUUAGAACUCCCCAAAUUCUGUAUCUGGGUUAGAGUCCCAGGGAGGUUUAGAACUCCCCAAAUUCUGUAUCUGGGUUGGAGUCCCGGGGAGUUUUAGAGCUCCCCAAAUUCUGUAUAAGAGAACUGGGUUCAAGUCCCAAAAAGUGUUGGGUCAGGUACCCGUUAAUCAUUUGUUAAUUAUUCUGAGUCCCGGUAACGUAAGUCAGGUUGAAAUGGACGGGAAGUGUGAGAGAGAAGUUGAUGACGAUGGGCGGUGUCCAGGCACUGGGAAGUGGAAACAAUUGGGGAUACAGGUGGCAAAUGUAAUGACUGUUGUAGGCAGGAUGGACCCAAUUCAGAAAGAAAAAGAAGGGAUAGAAGAGAAAUUGCGACAAGUGGUGAGCGAGGCAGGAUUAAGGAUGGAGGAAAGGAGAUCAUUACAUGUUAUUUUGUGGAAUAAGGAGAAGGAGUGUUCUAAAAAUCGAGAUAGAGUUAGAGACAAGAAGGAAACAGCCAAUUUGGU
ensembl:lncRNA